UGGUUUAUUUUUGACUGGAUCGCUAACGCUAACCAGAAACCAGCGGGCUUGCAUUAACGCAGAAUGACAAAUCUAGAAAUCAGGACUUUAUUAGUUGCAGUCGCCAUUCAUGGAGUCUUGGGUCAGAUCAAACUGGAGCAGUCGCCCUCUGUGGUGAAAAAGCCCGGAGAAGCAGCAAAGCUAUCCUGCUCUGUGAAUGGAUUUGACAAAGCUAACGAGUUUGUUCACUGGACACGGCAAAAGACAGGGAAAACUCUUGAGUGGAUCGGAAGACAGUCACUGUCAUGGCAAGAAUAUUCUUCAUCCUUUCAAAGUCGUUUUACUCUCUCAUAUGACGUGUCCAGCAGCUCUGCAGACCUCAGCAUCAGGAGUCUGACAGAGGAAGACUCUGCCCUCUACUUCUGUGCUCAUACAGCACAGUGACUCAAAACGCCACAACACCAGUGUAAAAACCUCCCAGAGAAAAACAAGCGAUGAAAUCACAGCUAAAGCAUAUUCUCAUUCAUAUUUAAUGUAGUGUACAAAAAGAAUCAGCUCAAGAUUAAGAAAAAGAUCAAAUUAAAAUUGUUUGUGAAUGACUGAAAAUGUCAGAAAAACAACUGUGGCUGAUAUAUAAAAAACAACUGGUGAUUAUAAUUUAGUUACAUUCCCUUCACAAUUAAAAAUUUGGCUUCUGUGUUAAAUUGUUAGAAUUCACAAUGAACUUAAUCUCUUCCUCUUUGCACAUCUGGAGUUGUUUUCUGGCUUUCAGGGAUGACAGAGUGCAACAGGUGCGUCACCAGAUGGAUGGCUUGAUAAUUUCCUUUUUCAUUUCUACACAGCACUGUACCCAACCCUAAUCCUUAGUUUCUUUCUCAGGAUUAUUCUAAUAAAAGUUUCAGACUGAAUAAAGUUUUUAACUAACUCUAGAUUUGGGUUAGAUUUCACUACCUAGACAAUAAAUACAUUAAAAAAGAAUUGAAUUUGACAGUAGACCUAGAAUAGUGGUUCCUCUGGCAGGAAAAUAUUCAUCCAGCUGUUUUAAUAUUUCUCCCUGCAAAGUCUGGGCCUAAUCUGAGACCUUAUUUCCUGCAGGACAUACCUCAAAACAGCUAGUUUUCUCUCUCCACAAAAGCAUACAUUUCUCCACCAUUCUAGAACAAGAUUCUGCAAAGUUUAAUGUAAAUCUGACCUGGUGGUUUUUGUAUGGCAGUUUAUCACUGUGGUGGGCAGGAGGCUAUGCCACUAAGAAAUAUGGCAAUACAAAAAGCUACCAAAAGAAAGAGGUCAAAGCACAACAAAAGAAAUCAUAAUUUUUUCAAAAUAAAAUUAAAGAUAAGCUUGUUG